GUCUACUGCCAUACCACCCUGAACAUGCCCAAUCUCAUCUGAUCUCAGAAAUUAAGCAGGGUCAGGCCUGGUUAGUACUUGGAUGGAAGAAAAUAAUACAAUGACA
rnacentral:rRNA from 1 species